GAGUCUACAGCCUAGAGUCUAGAAAAGAAAAAUAAAGAAAACACCUUCCGUCUGCAGUUGACAGCCUGCCUGGACGGGGAAGAUACCGGAGAAUGAGCUGCCAUGAGAGCUGAUUGGAGGGGAGGGCAAGUCAAGCCGUACAAUAUGCAGCAGCGCCUUAGUCUUUUGGACUGUACAUUGUGACCUUUUUCCUGGCAGCCUUAACUUCCGUUUGGCCAAGUGCAGUUUGUGAAUGGAAUUCGCCAGCUCAUUGGAAAUUGUAGCGACAAAAAAUAAGGAAAACCGAGGAUGAGAAGCAGAUCAGAUAUCAUCAUAUAAUCAGGCACAUAACUGCUUACCCCACUGAGUCGACUCGCUCAAGUCGCUUUGAAUAACGAAGAAAAAAUAAAUGUUUCCCCCUAGUUUAAAAAAUAAAAUAUAAAAUAACAAGAA